rnacentral:rRNA from 1 species
CAGUCGCCACGGUAAUACGAAGGGUGCAAGCGUUAAUCGGAAUUACUGGGCGUAAAGCGUGCGUAGGCGGUGAGUUAAGUCUGCUGUGAAAUCCCCGGGCUCAACCUGGGAAUGGCAGUGGAUACUGGCUCGCUAGAGUGUGUCAGAGGAUGGUGGAAUUCCCGGUGUAGCGGUGAAAUGCGUAGAGAUCGGGAGGAACAUCAGUGGCGAAGGCGACCACCUGGACUGAUACUGACACUGAGGUGCGAAAGCGUGGGGAGCAAACAGGAUUAGAUACCCCUGUAGUCCCUGUCUCUUAUAC